rnacentral:rRNA from 1 species
CCUACGGGAGACAGCAGUGAGGAAUAUUGGUCAAUGGACGAGAGUCUGAACCAGCCAAGUAGCGUGAAGGAUGACUGCCCUAUGGGUUGUAAACCUCUUUUAUAUGGGAAUAAAAUGUUCCACGUGUGGGAUUUUGUAUGUACCAUAUGAAUAAGGAUCGGCUAACUCCGUGCCAGCAGCCGCGGUAAUACGGAGGAUCCGAGCGUUGUCCGGAUUUAUUGGGUUUAAAGGGAGCGUAGGUGGAUUGUUAAGUCAGUUGUGAAAGUUUGCGGCUCAACCGUAAAAUUGCAGUUGAAACUGGCAGUCUUGAGUACAGUAGAGGUGGGCGGAAUUCGUGGUGUAGCGGUGAAAUGCUUAGAUAUCACGAAGAACUCCGAUUGCGAAGGCAGUUCACUGGACUGCAACUGACACUGAGGCUCGAAAGUGUGGGUAUCAAACAGGAUUAGAUACCCGAGUAGUC